rnacentral:rRNA from 1 species
UACGUAGGGGGCAAGCGUUGUCCGGAAUCAUUGGGCGUAAAGCGCGUGUAGGCGGCUCGAUAAGUCUGCUGUGAAAGUUCAGGGCUCAACCCUGAAAUGCCGGUGGAAACUGUCGAGCUAGAGUACGGAAGAGGUGAGUGGAAUUCCUGGUGUAGCGGUGAAGUGCGCAGAUAUCAGGAGGAACACCAAUGGCGAAGGCAGCUCACUGGGACGUUACUGACGCUGAGACGCGAAAGCGUGGGGAGCAAACAGG